rnacentral:tRNA from 1 species
GACAAUAUAGUUUAAUAGUAAAUAAUGUUUUUGUAAAACAUAGUUGGGAUUAGUAAGGUUUAUAGUAUCG